CCCUUAGAUGUUCUGGGCUGCACACGUGCUACACUGGCAGGUUCAGCGAGCUUCAUGCCCUGAUCUGAAAGGAAUGGGAAAUCUUUUCAAAACCUGCCGUGCUUGGGAUAGAUGUUUGCAAUUAUUCAUCUUCAACGAGGAUUGCCUUGUAAGCGCACGUCAUCAGCGUGCAUUGAAUACGACCCUGUAUUCUGUACACACCGCCCGUCGCUCCUACCGAUUGAAGUUUUCGGUGUGUUGACAGGAGGAUUUUUUUGAAACUGGUUCGCCAGUGGAUUUUAGAUCCAAAUGCCAACGAAUCGAUGGCUUUAGAGGAAGGAGAAGUCGUAACA
rnacentral:rRNA from 1 species